rnacentral:lncRNA from 1 species
UCUGCCUCCCGAGUGCUGGGAUUAAAGGUGUGCACCACCAUGCCCAGCUUGACAUUAAGAAUUCUUGUUGUAGAUCAGCCUUUCUUCAUAAGAAAGGAGAAAGGACCUUCUAAAAUCUUAAGCACACAGCUAUUUCACUCCCUUGAAAAGCAGCUCUUGAGAUUGCCACACUUGGCCCCUGGAAUGUGCCUGCCUCACUUUGCUGAAUGAACUUGGUAAAGUUAGGCCUGUGCCCUAGUCUGCUCAGGGUCUGGCUGCAGUAGGCCUUGACUAAUGCUGGACAAUAUCGAAUGAGUGAAUCUGUUUGAGUGGGUUAUGGACCUUAGCAGGCACUGUGUGGGGGAGGAGGGCAACAUUGCCCCCCCUUUCCUAGUGUUUAUGUUUAUUCCUGACACCAUGGCUCAUCAGCUCCCAGGGAGAGUGCAGUGGAUAAACCAAGCACAGGAGCCCAGAGGCCAUGGUGACCAUGAUGGUGACAAUACCAAGAAGGAGGUGUGGUUUUGUUUGUUUGUUUUUAAUUUUUAAGAUUUGUUUUCUUUAGUACAUUUAAAGCAUAAUAUUUAUAUAUGGAAGAUAUGGAAGAUAAUGUAUUAGGUGACUGAAAAGAUAAAAGGGUUUGUCCUUGAGAUUUCCAGGAUGGAUGAGAAUAUGAGACUGGAACAGACAGACAAUGAUUCAGACAAAUUAUUUCUCGAAAUUAGGCAGCCCGAGCCCUUUAUGACUCCAUAAUCGUUGGAAGCUGAGUUACUCAUAACAUUCCCGAAAAUGAUAUGUUCAUGUUUUUUGCCUCCAUCAGAAGCACAACAGAUUGCUGAGAAGGGCAGAUGCACAAAUCUAAUGAACCAUCUUUCAAUUUAAAGCAUGCCCAGGAGUAUUCAUUAAAUAAAUGGCGGUGGUAGAGGUGUGCUCUCAGGGCUCCCACUCCAGCACAGGGCCUUUAGACUUCUUAUUUAAUUAAGGAGUGUACACAAACCACCCCAUCCCUCACAUACACACUCCCUACAUAGGAAAAAACUUUCAGAAUCCAGCUCACUUUUAAUUUAUCUUGCCAUUUUCCUAUGUAGUAAAUGCUUAAUUAUGUUUUGUUAGUGUUAUCUCUGAUAUUUACAGAACUCUUGCUAAUAUCCCUUAGCAUGUACUGUCUUAUCAAGCACAUAGUAGGUCUUCAUUGACUGGACAGAUACCAGCAUGAAUAGGAUACCGUUGCAUUGCACAUAAGACUCCUUAGAGUAGUAGUAUUCCUGACAGAUUCUGGAUACUAGAUAGACCUAAGCCACCUUUGACAACCCAGCAGUGUCGUGUGGGCUAUGCACAUGUCACUAGACCCUUGCUGAGAAGACUCAGAUGGCUGCGCCAGCCAUGUUCUGUCUCAAGUCUCUUGGUCUCAGACUCUUAUGUCCCAGCUUUGUUUUCUCUCCUAGACAGUCCUGAGAGUCCCUUUUCUAAAGGAAACCUGUAUACUGAUUUUCUUUACCCACAUUCAGAUCUUGCGCUGCUGAAGGCUUCAAGUUCCUAAACUAACCUUGUUCCCCUCUCUUAGUCAAAUGCCAUACUGAGAUAUAGAGGCUGAGGUCUGGGGAUUAGGAAAGUGUUAUUAGACGCGUUCUCACGACCGGCCAGGAAGAACACCACAGACCAGAAUCUUCUGCGGCAAGGCUUUAUUGCUUACAUCUUCAGGAGCCAGAGUGCAAGAAGCAAGAGAGAGCGAGAAGCAAGAGAGAGAGAAAACGAAACCCCGUCCCUCUUAAGGAGCAUUCUCCUUCGCCUCGGACGUGUCACUCCCUGAUUGGCUGCAGCCCAUCGGCCGAGUUGACGUCACGGGGAAGGCAGAGCACAAGUAGUCAUAAGAUACCCUUGGCACAUGCGCAGAUUAUUUGUUUACCACUUAGAACACAGCUGUCAGCGCCAUCUUGUAACGGCGAAUGUGGGCGCGGCUCCCAACAUCUCCCCCUAUCCUUUUAAUAAGAGCAAAUAGGCCACCCAUAUUAAUGAGAGUGGAGAUAGAGGUCAAAUCCCCAGUGUGUAGGUAAAGGAGCCAUGUACAGGAUUAGCUCUUAGGCUUACAGGCUUUUACCCAGAGCAACCCUGACCUGCUCCCGUGUCGUUUUGCCUGGGGGAAGGGAACUAGGACACUGAACCUUCAUGAAAGAUGACAUGUCUCCCUAGAAUAGGCUCAUAUAUGCCGCAGAGCCUUUCCAUUGCAGUGCUUAGCCUUGCAACUCUCUCGGGCUGCUGAAGCACACUCACUCUAUCCCGUGCAAUGAGUCUAGCCUCGUGAGAUGUAAGAGCUGAGUGGCCAGCGACCUAUUGCCUAGGCAUAGAUAACCAUAUAUCAGGGGGAGCUCCAUGUUCUAGUCCUGCAAGCGCCUGGGCAAUAACCACCUUGUCUCUCCUAGUUUGGGCCUUAAGCUUACAGACC